GUUGCGACAUUAUUAAUUUAUACAGGUUUUACAGUACAUAGCUACUGAUAUUUAUAUUUUAUAUUCAAUUAUUUUAUGUUCUCUAAAUUGCUCUUUUGGUAUAUAAAACAAAUAUUUUAAAAUAAAUUUUAUCGGAGAUAACAUGUUUACAAUUUUAUAAAGUUGACUGGGAUGGAAAAAUAUUGACCCAAUUUUUUUAAAAGAAAGUUGAAAAGUUUCAAUAAUUUUAUAAUGUUGACCAAUAUAAAAGAAUAAUUUGUUUCAAUGUUUCCAAAAAUGCAAUAAAAAUUUGGUCAAUUAAUAACAAAAUAAUUCAUCAGGAAACAAUCAAAUUUUAGGGGGAAAAUCAAAUAUUCUAGUAGUAUUGAGUUUCUCUUUCUAAAGAUUUUAGUAUUAGAAAAAAAACUCAAGUAAAGGAAAGACAAAUAAAACAAAACAUAUACAGUAGUUGCAUUGGUCAAGCGUCAAGAUAUUUACCCAUAUAUGGAUUCUUUUGUUCUUAUCUUUUUUAAGAUUUUUAUUCUUCUCAAAAUUAUUUGAAAAUUUAAUUUUUUUGGUUAUAUCUCCAAAGUGUAUAUCUCUUUGUAUAUCUUUAGCAACAUUCGGUUCCUGGACCAACUUGCUCCUUAGCCUACUUCAAAGACUGCUAAACCAUGCGUUAUGACAUAUGAAGAUCUUCUACCGGUAAGAUGUAGACAUCUCCAAGCCUGUGAAUGCUUACAUCUUACCGGGUGAAAAUCUUCAUGUCCUAGAAUCCUUUGCUGAGCAGAUAUUGUUGAAGUAGGCUAAGGUGCAUGUUGGUCCAACUAAAUUGGAUGCCCUCCAAGAAAACCUCAGUAAUGAUCAGUGUUGGACCUGACCUAAAGCGGGAGAAGCUGUGGAUUUAGGCGCCAAAUUAGAUUAAGAAUUUUGGGAGAAAUUGUUUUGCAAAAAAUUGUUUAUAGUCCAGCUGUUGUGUUUUACUUUGUUCGGUCACAGGUGAUGGGUUCGAGGAUUUGGGGACAAUAAAUAUUUAUUUUGCUUUAAGAUGUAUUUUGUACUGGGCCGGGCCUGGUAAUGAUGUAUUGGUUGAAAACCUCAAUUGUCCCUGCCUCCAGCUUCCAGAAAGGUCAAUCACGGGAAGAAAGCUUGAAAAUGACACAGUUCCAUGGACGGAUCUACGUUGCUCAGCAAGGGGGCAACUGCCCCCAGUAAAUUCUAUAAGUAAAUUGAAAUACGUUGGAUUGUUGAGUAUCUUUUACAGCUUAGUUGGUUAAAAUCUUCGCUUUUUCCCCACUGAACCAACGUUCGAAAGCCCCAUCUGCCGCCUUGCACCAUCUAUUUUUCUUACUUUUUCUUUACCUUUCUGAUUUUUUUUGGCCACGUCUUAUGUUUUGUUAUUUUCUUCAUGUUCAUUUUUUUUUGUUCCGCAUAUUUUUUUGUUCCGCAUUUCUUUUCAUCCAUAAACUAUUUUUUAAAAUAUUCUGAAUUUCAGUAUUUUUUUAUUUUGUUAGUGAUGUCUUUUUUCCUUCGUUUAGUUCCUUGUACCCUUUUUCUUAUUUUUUUUCUUCUGGCCAUGUGUUAUGUUUCAUUAUUUUCCUCACCUUUUAUUUUUUGUUCUUCAUUUCUUUUCAUUCAAAAUUUUUUGUUUUAAAAUAUUUUGAAUUCUAGUAUUUUUUCCACUUCAUUGGUAAAGUCUUUUUGUUUCCUCAUUUAGUUUAUAGUCAUAUUAUUUUAUUAUUAUUUUUCUUCUGAAUUUUCUUCUUAUUGAAAAAAUUUAGAUAUAUGUAAUAUUAUUAAAUAAAAAUAUUUACUAAUAAUUAAUUUAUGCUCCCACUCAAAAUAUUUUCUAGUUCUGCCACUGACAGUUCGAGACCAUUCAACUACAUUGUCGGAACCUGGAAUCGACAAAGGAACCAUUAAGUGUUUUAGUUACUAAAAACAUCCUCUUAUAAUCAUUACUUGUACACUUAUCAUCAUCAUAAUCAGAGAGUUGAAUGUUAUACGUGUAUUGCAAGUUAUAGUCUUAACGGAUGAUUAUGAUUCUGAAAUUUUCAUUCAACUUGUUAGAACAGGAGGCAACAUCUUGGACCUUUACCCCCUCUGACGCAAUCAAGACACUCUGGCUCCGACAAGGAUAACUCAUCCUCAGUGAUUUGGCCAGCGGUAUGCUCGUACCAGAGCGACAAUCUGUAAGCUAGGAUUUCAUUGGUGUUGGUUGUAUUGGUUUGGUUGCAACCUAUUGCAAUCUCAGUGUAUCGACAACCCUUCAUUGAUCUCUGGUUUAUAUUUUCUUCAACUUUGUUUUAAGAUUAGGGGUUUAUCCAACCUAUCAUGAUCUUGGAGUGGAAAUAGACCAUGAAACUGCUUCAAACUCUCCAUCUCUCUUCUCUUCCCUCGGAUCCGCCCCUGUCUCCAGUUUCCCAUAUCGCCUCUACAAUGAUCAUCCGAUACAUCAUGGACAUGGUAUCUCGCGUCCAAUGAAGCAUCUCAUCAACCGUUUUGCUCUGGUGGCCCUUUUGGCCACAUUGGCAUCACUAUAUAUACUUCGAAUCUCUCCGUAUAACAUAUAAAACAUGAAAUCAUGGGCUCACCGCCACGGAAGCUCAUGAUUUCUCUCUCUUGGACACAGUCUACUAACAACAUUUGUGUCUUUGAAACAAGCAAAAGCUGUUUGGUAUUUUCAAAAGCACUCUCUGCGGCUCAUCACAAAGUAAUCCUUUCAGUUGUGUCAAAACAAAAACUAAUCCUUUAAACUGAAAUUUUGAAACUUUAUAUUGAAAAUGACUGAAGAAUUUAUUUGUUAUUUUUUUGUGAGGGAGA